GAAAGCAAAGAAGGGCAUAUGGAGGAUGCCUAGGCUCUCGAAGGCGAAGAAGGACGUGAUAAGCUGCGAAAAGCUCCGGGGAGUGGCAAAUACACCGAGAUCCGGAGAUAUCCGAAUGGGGCAACCCGUCGAGGCUCGACCUCGACACACGCGAACGCGUGGGCGAACGUGGGGAACUGAAACAUCUAAGUACCCAUAGGAAGAGAAAAUAACAAUGAUUCCGCAAGUAGUGGCGAGCGAACGCGGAAGAGCCCAAACCGCAGGCGUAGCAAUGCGCCGUGCGGGGUUAUAGGACCGGCGCCACGAAGAACCGAAUGCUAGCCGAACCGACUGGAAAGUCGGGCCACAGCGGGUGACAGCCCCGUAGGCGAAAGCGUUCGGCGACUCCAGCCGGCACCUGAGUAACCCGGAGCACGAGGAAUUCCGGGCGAAUUAGCGGGGACCAUCCCGUAAGGCUAAAUACUAACGAGAGACCGAUAGCGAACCAGUACCGUGAGGGAAAGGUGAAAAGAACCUCGAACAGAGGAGUGCAACAGACCCUGAAACCAUAUGCCUACAAGCGGUCGGAGCGGCUUAGUGCCGUGACGGCGUGCCUUUUGCAUAAUGAACCUACGAGUCACCGUCGUUGGCAAGGUUAAGGACAAUGAUGUCCGGAGCCGAAGCGAAAGCGAGUCCGAAGAGGGCGCCGGAGUCAGCGGAGGUGGACGCGAAACCAAGUGAUCUACCCUUGGGCAGGUUGAAGGACAGGUAAAACUGUCUGGAGGACCGAACCGGUAAGCGUUGAAAAGCUUUCGGAUGACCUGAGGGUAGGAGUGAAAGGCCAAUCAAACUUGGAGAUAGCUCGUACUCCCCGAAAUGUAUUUAGGUGCAGCCUCGGAGAGAAUCUGACGGAGGUAGAGCGACUGAUAGGAUGCGAGGGCUUCACCGCCUAUCAAGUCCUGACAAACUCCGAAUGCCGUCAGACAUAUCCGGGAGUAAGGGCGCGGGUGCUAAGGUCCGCGUCCGAGAGAGGAACAACUCAGACCAUCGGCUAAGGUCCCGAAAUCCGGGCUAAGUUGAAGACAAUAACGAGGUGGGAUUGCAUAGACAGCUAGGAUGUUGGCUUGGAAGCAGCCAUUCAUUUAAAGAGUGCGUAACAGCUCACUAGUCGAGUGAUCCCGCGUGGAUAAUAAUCGGGCAUAAGUCCGGUACCGAAGCCAUGGAAUCACGCUAAGGGCGUGAUUGGUAGGGGAGCAUUCCGUACAGCGGCGAAGGUCGGUGGCGAUGCCGGCUGGAGCGUACGGAAAAGCAAAUGUAGGUAUAAGUAACGAUAAUGGAGGCGAGAAACCUCCACGCCGAAAGACCAAGGUUUCCUGAUCAACGCUAAUCGGAUCAGGGUAAGUCGGGACCUAAGGGGCAGCCGCGAGGCGGACCCGAUGGAAGAAACGGUAAAGAUUCCGUUACUGUCGCCGGGAGUGAAGCGGGGACGGAGGAGUGACACCGCCGCGGACUGACGGAAUAGUCCGUUGAAGAGUGUAGGUAUUCGGAGGCCAGGCAAAUCCGGUCUCCGAGCUGAACUUGACAGUACUGCGAGCCUUCGGGCAAGCAGACAGCGCGGGUAAUCAGACUCCCAAGAAAAUCCGCUAAACAUAUGUCGGCGACACCCGUACCGAAACGGACACACGUGGUCGGGUAGAACAUACUAAGGCGCUCGAGAGAUUCACCGUUAAGGAACUAGGCAAAUUGACCUCGUAACUUCGGGAUAAGGGGUCCCACAGCGAUGUGGGCGCAGAGAAUAGGUCCAGGCAACUGUUUAACAAAAACACAGGGCUGUGCGAAAUUUAAAGAUGAAGUAUACAGCCUGACACCUGCCCGGUGCCGGAAGGUUAAGAGGAGAAGUCAUCGCAAGAGAAGCUUUGAAUUGAAGCCCCGGUAAACGGCGGCCGUAACUAUAACGGUCCUAAGGUAGCGAAAUUCCUUGUCGGGUAAGUUCCGACCUGCACGAAUGGUGUAAUGAUCUGGACACUGUCUCAACGGUGAGCUCGGUGAAAUUGUAGUAUCGGUGAAGAUGCCGAUUACCCGCAACGGGACGAAAAGACCCCGUGAACCUUUACUGCAGCUUAGCAUUGGGACCGGGUGCGUGAUGUGUAGGAUAGUCCGGAGACAGCGAAGCGGGGGCGCCAGCCCUCGCGGAGUCGACGUUGAAAUACGGACCUUUGCGCAUCUGGUCUCUAACUCGCGGAAAGCGAGGACACUGCUUGGUGGGUAGUUUGACUGGGGUGGUCGCCUCCAAAAGAGUAACGGAGGCUUCUAAAGGUGCCCUCAGACCGAUUGGUAACCGGUCGCAGAGUGUAAUGGCAUAAGGGCGCUUGACUGAGAGGACGACAAUCCGAACAGGUAGGAAACUAGAGCAUAGUGAUCCGGCGGUACCGCAUGGAAGGGCCGUCGCUCAAAGGAUAAAAGGUACUCCGGGGAUAACAGGCUGAUCCCUCCCAAGAGCUCAUAUCGACGGAGUGGUUUGGCACCUCGAUGUCGGCUCGUCACAUCCCGGGGCUGGAGAAGGUCCCAAGGGUUAGGCUGUUCGCCUAUUAAAGUGGCACGCGAGCUGGGUUCAGAACGUCGUGAGACAGUUCGGUCUCUAUCUGUUGUGGGCGCGGGAGAUUUGCGGGGAUCCGACACUAGUACGAGAGGACCGUGUUGGACCGACCUCCGGUGAGCCGGUUGUACCGCCAGGUGCACGGCCGGGUAGCCGCGUCGGGGACGGAUAAGUGCUGAAAGCAUCUAAGCACGAAGCCAACCUCAAGAUAAGAUCUCCAUACAGGGCCGUCGAAGACGACGACGUCGAUAGGCUGCAGGUGUAAAGUCAGUGAUGGCAAAGCCGAGCAGUACUAAUUGCCCGAAAGCUUUCAGAA
rnacentral:rRNA from 1 species